GCUAGAGUGGUGGAAUUGGCAUACACGGCGGACUUAAAAUCCGCUACCGUAAAGGUUUGUGGGUUCAAAUCCCACCUUUAGCA
rnacentral:tRNA from 1 species